GGCGAGUAGUAAGGUGGUGGUGGAGAACUGUAAACGUAUGGUGGUGGUGGAGAUUUGUAGUCCACCUUAGGAGAAGGUGAGUAGUAAGGUGGUGGUGGGGAACUGUAGACAUACGGUGGGGGAGGAGAUUUGUAGUCAACCUUAGGAGAAGGCGAAUAGUAAGGUGGUGGUGGAGAACUGUAAACGUAUGGUGGUGGAGGAGACUUGUAGUCUACUUUAGGAGAAGGAGAGUAGUAAGGUGGUGGUGGGGAACUGUAAACGUAUGGUGGUGGAGGAGAUUUGUAGUCCACCUUAGGAGAAGGUGAAUAGUAAGGUGGUGGUGGGGAACUGUAAACAUACGGUGGUGGUGGAGACUUGUAGUCUACCUUAGGAGAUGGUGAGUAGUAUGGUGGUGGUGGAGAGCUGUAUACAUAAGGUGGGGGAGGAGAUUUGUAGUCAACCUUUGGAGAAGGCGAAUAGUAAGGUGGUGGUGGAGAACUGUAAACGUAUGGUGGUGGAGGAGAUUUGUAGUCUACCUUAGGAGAGGGCGAGUAGUAAGGUGGUGGUGGAGAACUGUAAACGUAUGGUGGUGGUGGAGAUUUGUAGUCCACCUUAGGAGAAGGUGAGUAGUAAGGUGGUGGUGGAGAACUGUAAACGUAUGGUGGAGGAGGAGACUUGUAGUCUACCUUAGGAGAGGGCGAAUAGUAUGGUGGUGGUGGAGAAUCGUAAACAUAUGGUGGGGGAGGAGAUUUGUAGUCCACCUUAG
rnacentral:lncRNA from 1 species